AACGCACAUUGCGCCCUUUGGUAUUCCGAAGGGCAUGCCUGUUCGAGCGUCAUUAUCACCCCUCAAGCCUUGUGCUUGGUGUUGGACGGCCCGGUCGAGGCGACUCGACCCCUCCUAAAGACAAUGACGGCGGCCUGUGGUUCCCCCGGUACACUGAGCUUCUCACCGAGCACGUAUCGGACCAGGGCACCCGGGACCCGGUCUUCUCCUCUUCACCGAGGAAAUUUUUAUCAGGUUGACCUCGGAUCAGGUAGGAAUACGCGCUGAACUUAA
rnacentral:misc_RNA from 1 species